AAACACUAUCCCCACUCCCUUUCAAUCGUAGUCAUUGUACCACUCGCAUCAGGAAAUGUACAUCCACUUGGACGAAGAAAAUUCCUCCCAUGAAUACAUCUCCCCUUUCCAUUGUUAAAUCCAAUUAAAAAGAAGAAGAAGAAGAAAUUCCCAAUCUGAAAGAGGGAAAAUGGAAAACAACCCGCAGCAGAACGGCGCGCCGCCGGUGGGGUACCCGUCGCAGGCGCCGUACCAGCACCUCCUACAGCAGCAGCAGCAGCAAUUGCAGAUGUUCUGGUCGUACCAGCGGCAGGAGAUCGAGGGGGUGAACGAUUUCAAAAACCACCAGCUUCCCCUGGCGCGGAUUAAGAAGAUCAUGAAGGCCGACGAGGACGUCCGCAUGAUCUCCGCGGAGGCGCCGAUCCUCUUCGCCAAGGCCUGCGAGCUCUUCAUCCUCGAGCUCACCAUCCGCUCCUGGCUCCACGCCGAGGAGAACAAGCGCCGCACCCUCCAGAAGAACGACAUCGCCGCCGCCAUCACCCGCACCGACAUCUUCGACUUCCUCGUCGACAUUGUUCCCAGGGACGAGAUUAAGGAUGACUGCGCCGCGCUUGUUGCCUCCCCUGCUGGAGUCACCGGUGUGCCCUACUUCUAUCCGCCCAUGGGGCAGCCCGUCGAUCCUGCGGUCUACGCGCAGCCGCCGUCGCAGGCGUGGCAGUCGGUGUGGCAAACGGGGCCUGAGGAUGCGUCGUACCGGAGUGGUGGUGGUGCCAGUGGAAACCUCGACGGUUGAGGGAACUGAUACUCACAUAGAAGAAGGAUGUGGCCGUGGGUGGAUCGACCUUACAUAGUAAACAUGAGUUAUAAAACCUGCAAUUGUUGUGGCCCAUUCACCAUAUCAAAUUGAAACAAGUGAUGAUGAAGUGGUGAAGUCAGGAAUUUGAUUUUCAUCUAUGAUGGGUUGAAUUCUUGGUGAGGAUAAGGUGAAAGAAGAUGUAUUGUUGGUUGUAGGAAUUUGUAUAAAACUUGAUAUCUUGCCUACUAAUGCCAUCAAAAAGCAUGUGCAGAAUGUUUCCAGUGAUUUUCAUCGAUACACAUACACUCAGCUGAUUCUUAUUUUUUUUGGUUAAAAGUCGCCACUUUUCUCUACC